rnacentral:rRNA from 1 species
AGAGUUUGAUCAUGGCUCAGGACGAACGCUGGCGGCGCGCCUAACACAUGCAAGUCGAACGGGACUAGUGACCGGAGCUUAGAAGUUUUCUAGGUUGCGUUCACUAGUUCAGUGGCGGACGGGUGAGUAAAGCAUGAGUAACUUUCCCAUUAGUGGGGAAUAGCUUUUGGAAACAGAAGAUAAUACCGCAUACAUCGUUGAGGACUCAUGUUCUCUUCGGAAAAGAAGCAAUUCGCUUAUGGAUAGGCUCAUGUCUGAUUAGCUUGUUGGUGAGGUAAUGGCUCACCAAGGCCAUGAUCAGUAGCCGUACCGAGAGGUUCAACGGCCACAUUGGGACUGAGACACGGCCCAGACUCCUACGGGAGGCAGCAGUGAGGAAUAUUGCGCAAUGGAGGAAACUCUGACGCAGCGACGCCGCGUGAAGGAUGAAGGUCUUCGGAUUGUAAACUUCUGUCUUCAGGGAAGAAACAAAUGACGGUACCUGGGGAGGAAGCCCCGGCUAACUACGUGCCAGCAGCCGCGGUAAUACGUAGGGGGCGAGCGUUGUCCGGAAUUAUUGGGUGUAAAGGGCGCGUAGGCGGCUAAGUAAGUCAAACGUGAAAACUACAGGCUCAACUUGUAGCUUGCGUUUGAAACUGCAUAGCUUGAGUAAAGUAGAGGUAAGUGGAAUUUCCAGUGUAGCGGUGAAAUGCGUAGAUAUUGGAAGGAACACCAGUGGCGAAGGCGACUUACUGGGCUUUUACUGACGCUGAGGCGCGAAAGCGUGGGUAGCAAACAGGAUUAGAUACCCUGGUAGUCCAUGCUGUAAACGAUGAUUAUUAGGUGUGGGAGGUCUGACCCCUUCUGUGCCGGAGUUAACACAAUAAAUAAUCCACCUGGGGAGUACGGCCGCAAGGUUGAAACUCAAAGGAAUUGACGGGGACCCGCACAAGCAGUGGAGUAUGUGGUUUAAUUCGACGAUACGCGAAAAAUCUUACCAGGCCUUGACAUCCAACUAACGAGGUAGAAAUACAUUAGGUGCCCUUCGGGGAAAGUUGAGACAGGUGGUGCAUGGUUGUCGUCAGCUCGUGUCGUGAGAUGUUGGGUUAAGUCCCGCAACGAGCGCGACCCCUACGAUUAGUUGCUACGCAAGAGCACUCUAUUCGGACUGCCGUUGACAAAACGGAGGAAGGUGGGGAUGACGUCAAAUCCUCAUGCCCUUUAUGGCCUGGGCAACACACGUACUACAAUGGCUAAUACAACGGGGAGCUAAAGCGCGAGCUGGAGCGAAUCCUUCAAAAUUGGUCUCAGUUCGGAUUGUAGGCUGAAACUCGCCUGCAUGAAGUUGGAAUUGCUAGUAAUCGCGGAUCAUCAUGCCGCGGUGAAUACGUUCCCGGGUCUUGUACACACCGCCCGUCACACCAUGGGAGCCGGUAAUGCCCGAAGCCGUUUUCUCAACCGCAAGGGGAGAGGCGUCUAAGGUAGGAUUGGUGACUGGGGUGAAGUCGUAACAAGGUAGCCGUAUCGGAAGGUGCGGCUGGAUCACCUCCUU